ACAUAAACCAGUAUCCACACAAGUCCAGAUUUUUGAACAUUCAGAGUAUCAAACACGCUUUAUUGACUCGUUCUCUCCCUCGCCUCGUCUCUCUUCUCAAUCUCUCCGUUCUCUCUCACUCUCUCCGUCUGUCUCUCUCUUCAUCUCUUUAGAUAAAAAUGAGGUCGAUUUCACUCGUUCUCGUGGAAUUGGAGCAAGCUCUCACAAAUCACCUGGAUUUUGAAUUAAAUUUAGGGUUUAUUCAAUUGAUUUGUUCUUGGAUCAAAAUUGGGGGUUUUCAUGCCUUUGAUUCAGGGGUUUUUUGGUUAUAUUGUUUUUUCUCUUAGAUCUUUAACUCUGUCUCUAAUUUGUUUUAUAUCUUUGUUCUGUUUUAGGCUGGCUUUGGGUUCCUUAGGGAUUGACUGAUUUAAAUCUUUGAUGUGCGCUUCUUCAGCUUAAGGUUGUAAGCAAUGCUAACAAAUUAUUAGGACUUGUCAAUGAGAAGAAAAAGAAACAAAAUUGGUUUGAUUAUUAUCAACUGAAGUAUGCUAGAUAUCAGUCAAAGAGACCGAUUAUUAAGGUUAGGUUGUGGAUGUUGGAUUUGCAGUUAGAAAAUUCAAGAAAGGCGAAAAAGUUAUGGCCAUGCUUGGAACAACGACUGGAGGUGGAUUAGUUGAGUAUGCAGUAGCAAAGUAAGAAGUAACAGUUCUAAGGCCACUUGAACUAUCAGCUGGUGAAUGUGCCGCAUUAGGCACUCAAGGGUUAACCACUUACCAAUGCCACAUCACAGCGGGAGUUGUUCUAUGAAAAGACGCCAACCUAUGAACAUACUAACUGUUGCAGCUUGAGGCGGUGUUGGUCACUACGCAAUUCAGCUCGCAAAGCUAAGGAACACUCAUGUCACUAUAACAGGUGGCUCUCGCAACAUUGAUUGUGUGAAGAAGACCUAAAGGAUGAGUUGGAUUUGUUAGGUAGUUUAGUUUGGUUGGAUUUGUUUUGAACUUUGGUUUGUAUGAAUGAUUAGUUAAUUUUGCAGUUGAUAUAGUAAACUUUUGCAUAGUA